rnacentral:rRNA from 1 species
UACGGAGGAUGCGAGCGUUAUCCGGAUUUAUUGGGUUUAAAGGGUGCGUAGGCGGCUUUUUAAGUCGGCGGUGAAAUUUUGCAGCUUAACUGUAACAGUGCCGUUGAUACUGGGGAGCUAGGAUUUGGUUGCUGUGGGUGGAAUGUGUGGUGUAGCGGUGAAAUGCUUAGAGAUCACACAGAAUAUCGAUUGCGAAGGCAGCUCACAAAGCCAAGAUUGACGCUGAGGCAGAAAGUGUGGGGAUCAAACAGGAUUAGA